CCUACGGGGGGCAGCAGUCGAGAAUCAUUCACAAUGGGGGAAACCCUGAUGGUGCGACGCCGCGUGGGGGAAUGAAGGUCUUCGGAUUGUAAACCCCUGUCAUGUGGGAGCAAAUUAAAAAGAUAGUACCACAAGAGGAAGAGCCGGCUAACUCUGUGCCAGCAGACGCGGGAAUACAGAGGUCUCAGGCGUUGUUCGGAAUCACUGGGCGUAAAGCGUGCGUAGGCUGUUUCGUACGUCGUGUGUGAAAUGCGCGGGCUCAACCCGCGGAAGGCACAUGAUACUGCGAGACUAGAGUAAUGGAGGGGGAACCGGAAUGCUCGGUGUAGCAGUGAAAUGCGUAGAUAUCGAGAGGAACACUCGUGGCGAAGGCGGGUUCCUGGACAUUAACUGACGCUGAGGCACGAAGGCCAGGGGAGCGAAAGGGAUUAGAUACCCGAGUAGUC
rnacentral:rRNA from 1 species